UUCUUCAACCCCCCGCCUCCCGAGUAGCUGAGACUACAGGAAAGGAAAGCUGCUACAUCAUGACAAGAAGCUAAUCAAUCAAGAAGCAAGGAGCUGCUGGCACCUUGACUAACUACAGACCCUUGCUGCUGACCCUGCCGGGAUCCCCAGAAUCACCACUGCUACUUCAGAAAGCUGGAGAAUCAAGAAGCUGCUGAGUCUAUAACCAUGAUACCCUGACACUGUCUGCAAAAGCAAAACGAUACUUGUAUACCCUCUUUUGCACCACUGACUCAGUUCCAAAUCAGAGUCUCUCAUGAGUGCAUCUGACUCGUGGAAUCUAAAUCACGUCCAGAACUCUAACUGCAAAGGAGUUGAGGACAUUUAAGUUUUAGCUUUCCAACUUUUGCAGAGUGGAAGGGUACUGAAGUAGGUAUGGAGCAACUCAUUCCACAGUAUCUGCCAUAGACAGUAUCUUUCUCUAAUAACAAAAAUAAAUGAGACAUAUUGAUGGAAAGUUGGUCACAUACUA